UUUUGGAUCCCUCAGUUAAUUUAAAUACACAUUAGGAAUCCACAAUUGUUCAAGGUCCCUUUGUAGUCCAAGGAAUAUUCCUGCAGAGGUAGUACAAUUUCAACCUUAUCCCUUAAGGAUUAGGAUGAGUUAACUAAGAUUGAAAUACUAUAAAUUGUAAUGAGUCAUUUCCAUUUUUACUAUCAUAUAUGAAAAAUAUCUUAGCCGUAAUUAGUUCUUAGCUUAGUUCUCAAUCUAGCUUAGUUUAAUUUCUAUAAUUUACCUGGCUAUUAUUCCACUGGAACACUGUCCCAUUACCCCUUGUUAAUUGUUCUGCAACAGAAUCUCCUCUUUUCAUCAUCCAUCAACCCAGAAAAUCAAAAAUCAGAAAAUAAACAGACCCCAAAUUGGUGCAACAACUCGAUUCGAUUGUAAAUCCUCCGUUAAAGCUUGAGAAAUGCCCCUUUUUAGAGUUUUUUGAAUUGAGUUUUCCCUCUUUUCUAUUCGUUGGCUCUAGCAAAGUUUUUGAUUUCAAAUUCGGACUUUGAAGUCCGAAUUUGGCUAUAAAUAUCGACUAUUUUACCACUCAAAGGAAUGGGCUUGGAGGUCGGAAAGAAAGAAGUCACAAAGGUAAAAAAACGAGUGAAACAAUUGAAAAAAAGAAAGCCAGGACCGGGGAAAGGGAGAGAAAAUAAGGCUCGAGAUCGGUGGGAAAGAGGCGGAAAAACAGAGAGAAGAUCGAGUGAAGUAAGUUCGCCGGAGAAAUCUCAACUUUACUGUUUUUUUGUCCGAUUUUUGUCCAAGCCGAAGUUCUAUAGUUGAGUUUAGCGGCCGGAAUAAUCCUUGACGUUGAGCCUCAGUAUUGCUGCCCCGAAAAAGGGGCCAUUAAGGUGGCAACGCUCCCAACAAAGUUUUCUCCAUACUCAGGGUCGAACCCUCAACCUCGAUGCAUCCAAAUCACCAAUCACUUUGCCACUUGAGAGAGUUUUGGAGGAUACAGAUUAGCGCCUCCAUGAGAUGGAGCAGCUGCAAUAUUGGUAUUUAUAUUUUCAGUUACCUUAGAAACUUUUUCUUCUUCAUCUUCGUUGUAAUAAUUUCUCAAGUUGGGAUGUAAUUUCCUGCAUCCUUCUUCAUUAUGACCUUGUGACUUGCGUUUUUUUCAAUAUUUAGAAUUUUAGAUAGAGCAUCAUAU